rnacentral:rRNA from 1 species
CCUACGGGAGGCAGCAGUGGGGAAUAUUGCACAAUGGGGGAAACCCUGAUGCAGCGACGCCGCGUGAGUGAAGAAGUAAUUCGUUAUGUAAAGCUCUAUUAGCAGGGAAGAAAAUGACGGUACGUGAGUAAGAAGCCCCGUCCAACUACGUGCCAGCAGCCGCGGUAAUACGUAGGGGGCAAGCGUUAUCCGGAUUUACUGGGGGUAAAGGGAGCGUAGACGGCAGUGCAAGUCUGGAGUGAAAGGCGCGGGCUCAACCCCCGGUAUGCUCUGGAAACUGUACGGCUGGAGUGCAGGAGAGGUAAGUGGAAUUCCUAGUGUAGCGGUGAAAUGCGUAGAUAUUAGGAGGAACACCAGUGGCGAAGGCAGCUUACUGGACUGAAACUGACGUUGAGGCUCGAAAGCGUGGGGAGCAAACAGGAUUAGAUACCCCAGUAGUC